rnacentral:rRNA from 1 species
AGCUAGUCGGCGGGGUAACGGCCCACCGAGGCGACGAUGUCUAGGGGUUCUGAGAGGAAGGUCCCCCACACUGGUACUGAGACACGGACCAGACUCCUACGGGAGGCAGCAGUGAGGAAUAUUGGUCAAUGGGCUUACGCCUGAACCAGCCAAGUCGCGUGAGGGAAGACUGCCCUAUGGGUUGUAAACCUCUUUUGUCAGGGAGCAACGCCGGCUACGUGUAGCCGGACUGAGAGUACCUGAAGAAAAAGCAUCGGCUAACUCCGUGCCAGCAGCCGCGGUAAUACGGAGGAUGCGAGCGUUAUCCGGAUUUAUUGGGUUUAAAGGGUGCGUAGGCGGAAUGCCAAGUCAGCGGUAAAAUCGCGGGGCUCAACCUCGCUCCGCCGUUGAAACUGGCGAUCUUGAGUGGGCGAGAAGUAUGCGGAAUGCGUGGUGUAGCGGUGAAAUGCAUAGAUAUCACGCAGAACUCCGAUUGCGAAGGCAGCAUACCGGCGCCCAACUGACGCUGAAGCACGAAAGCGUGGGUAUCGAACAGGAUUAGAUACCCUGGUAGUCCACGC